rnacentral:rRNA from 1 species
CGGACGGGUGAGUAACACGUGGAUAACCUACCUAUAAGACUGGGAUAACUUCGGGAAACCGGAGCUAAUACCGGAUAAUAUAUUGAACCGCAUAGUUCAAUAGUGAAAGACGGUUUUGCUGUCACUUAUAGAUGGAUCCGCGCCGCAUUAGCUAGUUGGUAAGGUAACGGCUUACCAAGGCAACGAUGCGUAGCCGACCUGAGAGGGUGAUCGGCCACACUGGAACUGAGACACGGUCCAG